rnacentral:rRNA from 1 species
GUAGGGAAUAUUGGACAAUGGGGGCAACCCUGAUCCAGCGACGCCGCGUGAGUGAUGAAGGCCUUCGGGUCGUAAAGCUCUGUUGCAGGGGAAGAACACAAUGACGGUACCCUGCUAGAAAGGAUCGGCUAACUUCGUGCCAGCAGCCGCGGUAAGACGAGGGAUCCUAGCGUUGUUCGGAAUUAUUGGGCGUAAAGCGGGUGCAGGUGGCUUGGUAAGUCAGAUGUGAAAGCCUGGGGCUUAACCCCAGAAGUGCAUUUGAGACUGCUGAGCUUGAGUGCUGGAGAGGCUAUUAGAAUUCCUGGUGUAGUGGUGAAAUACGUAGAUAUCAGGAGGAAUACCGGAGGCGAAGGCGGAUAGCUGGCCAGACACUGACACUCAGACCCGAAAGCGUGGGGAUCAAACAGGAUUAGAAACCCGGGUAGUCC